CGGGGCGUGGCGCAGUUGGUUUAGCGCACCAGCUUGGGGUGCUGGGGGUCGCCCGUUCAAAUCGGGUCGCCCCGA
rnacentral:tRNA from 1 species